GGAGUUGGUAGCUCAGUGGUGGAGUGCAUGCUUUGUGGGUAUCAAGUCCUGGGUUCAAUCACCAGCUUCUCCC